rnacentral:lncRNA from 1 species
AACCUUGUUCUAAUUACUUGCUACCAAGUUUUCACACCUAGAGGCACAACUAUGUACUAAUGAAACUUUGGGGUCAGAUGAAUUCAAAUUUGAAUUGUAUGACUGGUCUCACUCCCACUCUUGUGGCUACAGAUGGGCUAGAUCCCGUGACUGAGCAAAAGGGGAGAGAGAAGGAAGUGGUUUCUCUCAAAGAUAAAGUGUUUAUCUCUGAGCAGAUAAACACAAGCCCAUUCUGUACUAGAUCAGGAGAGAGAAUGUUGGUUCAAAUCUAAGAUGCAGAGCAGAUUGGUUAAGGACUAAGUUAGUUGAUCAUUUCCUAAGACAAGACUAGGACUAGCAGCAAAGGUGGUAUGGAUACUAUCAAGAUGAGAGGAGAAGUGGACAAACUGAAAACUAGUUCAAGGUCUAACUUUACAAACAUGACCUACCCACUGUGGCAUCCCUCUUACGCUUAGCCUGAUGUGCUUUGGUAGAGGAAGCACCACCCAUAUGAGUCUGCAUUUGCCAAAGGUGCCUUAGAAGAAAGGGAAAGAACUGGAACAGGUCAGCAAGUCCCAUGCUAAUGGGACUCAUGUCAAGCUGGGUCAAGUUGGGGUGUAGAUCUCUCAUUGAGAGCUAAAGCAUGGCGCUAAAAUAAGGGAAAGCAGAGACAUAGAAAACAAUCAAAUCUGAAGAAACCAGAGGAUGGAGAUGGAGGCUGUAGAACAAGGUGGGAAUGGAAGCUGGUGGAGAACAAUAAGGUCCUGCUGAGGAUCCCUGGUGCCCAGUAGGGAACACCGUGAGGAGGAGGAUUAAGAAAGGCACCCUUUCCACUGAUUUGCAUCGCCAUUUGUACAUGGAGUUUGGCUACAGCAAAAUCCGUUGCUAUCUCACCAGCUACAAGAAGCAAAGAACGAAUUGCAAUUCAUUUUUGUGCUCUAGGACCCGGUUGAGGAGUUUUCCAGCUGGAUUUGAUGUCACUUUCCCAUGCUGUCACUAAUCCCCAGCCACAACAGAAUGGGUCACACUCUUCUGCACUUUGGACCCUUUGCCCAUGCCAGAGUUAUCCGCUGACCCUCUUCCCAUGGCUGUCACCUCUUCAAAAAGGUCCACUGAACCUGAAGUAGAUGUCCUCCCUCUAUUAAGAUUCAACGUAUCAAAUCCACCCUUUCAAAGUCUUAGACUAGCACCUGGCAUACAUCUCCUUGCUGACAAAAAAGGAAAUGACUUCUGAAGACAUGAAAAAAAAAAAACAGGGUGAAGACAAAUUGGGUUAGAAUAACCCAUGACCUAGAUCAUUAGACUUUGACUAAUGAAGAACUGCCUUUUAACAGAGUUAAAAUUGACAGCACCAUGGCCUCACACCCAACAGGGUUUGAGGCUGGACCCUUCUUUGACAAACGAUGCCCUGAUUUACGCGCAAAAAUACCCAUCACAGCAUUAUUUAUAAUAUUCCCUGUCCAAUGCUGGGGACCUAGUUCAAUUAGCUAUAGAACAGCCAUUUGAUGAAAUAUUAUAAAGCUAUUAAAAUAAUAGGGGCAAAGAAAUUUUAAAACAUGGGGAAAGCCUUGAUGUUGUAAUAUUAAAUGAAUGAAGGAAUUCUAUGAAUGAAACUCAUUAAAACAUGUCUUCACAGUA